UUAACUAUUUUAUAGUACUCAGACGACACUAAUAUUCAGAGUUUGAUGGUCCUCUGGCGGGCACGCUGGGCAGAACCCGAACAGCCCGCCAAAGCAACAGAUGUUGAUAUAUACAAGGGUGGGAGAUCUACCCGUGAGGGCAUGAACUCUGUAAUGAUCCUUCCGCAGGUUCACCUACGGAAA
rnacentral:misc_RNA from 1 species